CAGUAGCCGCGGGAAUACGAGGGGGGCAAGCGUUGUUCGGAAUUAUUGGGCGUAAAGGGCGCGUAGGCGGUUUGGCAAGUUUGGUGUGAAAUCUUCGGGCUCAACUCGAAGUCUGCAUCGAAAACUGCCGGGCUUGAGUAUGGGAGAGGUGAGUGGAAUUUCCGGUGUAGCGGUGAAAUGCGUAGAUAUCGGAAGGAACACCUGUGGCGAAAGCGGCUCACUGGACCAUAACUGACGCUGAGGCGCGAAAGCUAGGGGAGCAAACAGGAUUAGAUACCCCGGUAGUCCCUGUCUCUUAUAC
rnacentral:rRNA from 1 species